rnacentral:rRNA from 1 species
UACGGUAGGUGCGAGCGUUUGUCCGGAAUUAUUGGGCGUAAAGAGCUCGUAGGCGGUUUGUCGACGUCCUAUACGGUGAAAAUAAGCAGCUUAACUGUUGGCGUGCGGUGGAUACGGGGCAGACUUGAGUUCGGUAGGGGAGACUGGAAUUCCUGGUGUAGCGGUGAAAUGCGCAGAUAUCAGGAGGAACACCGGUGGCGAAGGCGGGUCUCUGGGCCGAUACUGACGCUGGAGGAGCGAAAGCGUGGGGAGCGAACAGG